rnacentral:rRNA from 1 species
UGGGGAAUAUUGGACAAUGGGCGCAAGCCUGAUCCAGCCAUGCCGCGUGAGUGAUGAAGGCCCUAGGGUUGUAAAGCUCUUUCACCGGUGAAGAUAAUGACGGUAACCGGAGAAGAAGCCCCGGCUAACUUCGUGCCAGCAGCCGCGGUAAUACGAAGGGGGCUAGCGUUGUUCGGAUUUACUGGGCGUAAAGCGCACGUAGGCGGACUUUUAAGUAAGGGGGGAAAUCCCGGGGCUCAACCCCGGAACUGCCUUUGAUACUGGAAGUCUUCAGUAUGGUAGAGGUGAGUGGAAGUCCGAGUGUGGAGGUGAAAUUCGUAGAUAUUCGGAGGAACACCAGUGGCGAAGGCGGCUCACUGGACCAUUACUGACGCUGAGGUGCGAAAGCGUGGGGAGCAAACAGG